rnacentral:rRNA from 11 species
UUAAACAGAUUAAAUAUCUUUAGAGCACUAGAUCUCUUCGGAUCUUGGAAACUAAACAGGAUCAGUCCUGGUUGGUACUUGGAUGGGAGACCGCCAAAGAAUAGCUAUUUCAGGGGAAC